UACGUAGGUGGCGAGCGUUGUCCGGAUUUACUGGGCGUAAAGGGAGCGUAGGUGGACUUUUAAGUGAGAUGUGAAAUACCCGGGCUCAACUUGGGUGCUGCAUUUCAAACUGGAAGUCUAGAGUGCAGGAGAGGAGAAUGGAAUUCCUAGUGUAGCGGUGAAAUGCGUAGAGAUUAGGAAGAACACCAGUGGCGAAGGCGAUUCUCUGGACUGUAACUGACGCUGAGGCUCGAAAGCGUGGGGAGCAAACAGGAUUAGAUACCCU
rnacentral:rRNA from 1 species